CCUACGGGAGGCAGCAGUGAGGAAUAUUGGUCAAUGGACGAGAGUCUGAACCAGCCAAGUAGCGUGAAGGAUGACUGCCCUAUGGGUUGUAAACUUCUUUUAUAAAGGAAUAAAACGAGGCACGUGUGCCUUUUUGCAUGUACUUUAUGAAUAAGGAUCGGCUAACUCCGUGCCAGCAGCCGCGGUAAUACGGAGGAUCCGAGCGUUAUCCGGAUUUAUUGGGUUUAAAGGGAGCGUAGAUGGGUUGUUAAGUCAGUUGUGAAAGUGUGCGGCUCAACCGUAAAAUUGCAAUUGAUACUGGCAGUCGUGAGUACAGUUGAGGUAGGCGGAAUUCGUGGUGUAGCGGUGAAAUGCUUAGAUAUCACGAAGAACCCCGAUUGCGAAGGCAGCUUACUAAACUGUGACUGACAUUGAUGCUCGAAAGUGUGGGUAUCAAACAGGAUUAGAUACCCUAGUAGUC
rnacentral:rRNA from 1 species